AUUGUCCAGGGGCAAACUUCACCGAAAGGGAAGGGCGCAAAGCUGCGGGCCUACAGCGGGCUUCCCGCCACGGCAGCCGGGCUGCGACA
rnacentral:ncRNA from 2 species